rnacentral:sRNA from 1 species
UGAUGGCAACGGUGAGCUGCGGCCGGCGC